GCGGACGUGGUGAAAUUGGUAGACACGCAUGGUUUAGGCCCAUGUGCCUUCGGGUAUGAGAGUUCGAGUCUCUCCGUCCGCACCA
rnacentral:tRNA from 5 species